rnacentral:rRNA from 1 species
AGAGUUUGAUCAUGGCUCAGGAUGAACGCUGGCGGCGCGCCUAACACAUGCAAGUCGAACGGACGAUGAAAAGCUUGCUUUUCAAAGUUAGUGGCGGACGGGUGAGUAACGCGUGGGUAACCUGCCUCAUACAGGGGAAUAGCAGCUGGAAACGGCUGAUAAAACCGCAUAAGCGCACAGUGCCGCAUGGCACAGUGUGAAAAACUCCGGUGGUAUGAGAUGGACCCGCGUCUGAUUAGCUGGUUGGCGGGGUAACGGCCCACCAAGGCGACGAUCAGUAGCCGGCCUGAGAGGGUGAUCGGCCACAUUGGGACUGAGACACGGCCCAAACUCAUACGGGAGGCAGCA